CUAAAACAGUCAGGAUGUUGGCUUAGAAGCAGCCAUCAUUUAAAGAAAGCGUAAUAGCUCACUGAUCGAGUCGUCCUGCGCGGAAGAUGUAACGGGGCUAAGCCAGUCACCGAAGCUGCGGAUAUAUGCUUGCAUAUAUGGUAGGAGAGCGUUCUGUAAGCCUGCGAAGGUGUCUUGUAAAGGAUGCUGGAGGUAUCAGAAGUGCGAAUGCUGACAUGAGUAGCGAUAAUGGGAGUGAAAAGCUCCCACGCCGUAAGCCCA
rnacentral:rRNA from 1 species